rnacentral:rRNA from 1 species
UACGUAGGGUCCGAGCGUUGUCCGGAAUUAUUGGGCGUAAAGGGCUCGUAGGCGGUUCGUCACGUCGGGAGUGAAAACUCGGAGCUUAACUCCGAGCCUGCUUCCGAUACGGGCAGACUAGAGGUAGGCAGGGGAGAGCGGAACUCCUGGUGUAGCGGUGAAAUGCGCAGAUAUCAGGAGGAACACCGGUGGCGAAGGCGGUUCUCUGGGCAUUACCUGACGCUGAGGAGCGAAAGUGUGGGGAGCGAACAGG